rnacentral:tRNA from 1 species
GGCCGUGUGGCGGAACGGGUAACGCGUCAGCCUUCAGAGCAGAACAAUGCAGGUUCGAAUACUGCCGUGGUCG